UACGUAGGGUGCGAGCGUUGUCCGGAAUUAUUGGGCGUAAAGAGCUUGUAGGUGGUUUGUCGCGUCUGCUGUGAAAAUCCGAGGCUCAACCUCGGACUUGCAGUGGGUACGGGCAGACUAGAGUGUGGUAGGGGAGACUGGAAUUCCUGGUGUAGCGGUGAAAUGCGCAGAUAUCGAGAGGAACACCAGUGGCGAAGGCGAGUCCCUGGACAACACCUGACACUGAGGCACGAAAGCUAGGGGAGCAAACAGG
rnacentral:rRNA from 1 species